GUAAUCCCAGUGCUUGGGAGGCUGAGGUAGGAGGAAUGCUGUGAGUUUGAAGUCAGCAUGGGCUACGAAGUGAGUUGAAGACCAGCCUGAACUGCAUAGCAAGACCCUGUCUCAAAAAGACCAAAAAAAAAAAAAAAUUUUUUUCUAUGACACAGAGGAUGAAGAAUCCCAUAGUACAAGAUGAAUUUGAGGCUUAAACUUUGGCUUUGGAACACUUGUCUAUCCAGUCUCAGCAGACUAACAGCCUUGUGAAACAAGGAAAUGAACUUAGACCUGCGCUCAGUGACCCAGCUGAAAUCUUCCUCAGCAAGUGCGUAGCAGAAACCAACACUGUAACAAGCGCCUCCGCCCAGAAACACAUUUUUACAGGGUUUUGAAGGAAAUCUGCUUUGUACAAGCCACUGAGCUGACAACUCUACGUAAAAAUCUCAUCUGAUUUUAUUAUUCAAGUGAGAGAAAUGAAAAAGGGAAAUCAAACAAGAGUGUGGUUUCAGGUAUUUAAGUUUGUGUGUCUGAUUUAUUUCACUUAAAAUUAUGUUUUCCAGGUGAAUCCACUUUCCCACAAUACCUUGAAUUCAUCCAUCUUUAUAGCUGAUUGUAUUCCAUUAUGCAGAGAUACCACAGUUU
rnacentral:lncRNA from 1 species